GUUUUGGUCCUUGAAUGUGAUUUUAGCUGCGAGUAACGUGUCCUCGCUCCUCUCGGGCUCCCUCGGAGGGUUUUCAGAGAGGUUUCAGUGCAUCCAUUUUCUCAGAUCCUCUUCUUCUUUCCGGGUAAGGAUCUGGGGCCCUGCGGUCGACUUGGAGCGCGUAGGCGGCGGCUCAGGCUCUCGGAGGGGUCUGCGCAGUGGCCGAGGGAGCUCCCGGACGGUGGCGGCGGCAGAUCUCCUGGGCUGGACGCCGUGAGGGGAACAAGCGGAUUUUCCCAGCAAGAUCUCCAUGUACAGCUACAUCUUUAGGGCCGCUCGGGUUAAUAUAUGUCGUCAGAGGCUCCUCACGCCAAUCCCGGGGCGGCGGGGGCGGCGCCUCGCACUCUCCGCAAUAAAACUUUUUGAUGUUCUUGUUGCUAAUUGCCGAGGUCCUUUUCCAGGAUUGGCUGCCCCUUCAUAACCAUAAGAUAAUUAAAACGAGGGGGGGGGCAGGGUUAAAAAAACGUUUUUAUCAGCCAGAGGUUAAUGCAAGUGUUUAACAGAUGCUUCAUUAUUAAAAUAUUUUUCCCCAAGUCUCAAAUAUUGAAGAAUCUCAAACCAGGUACAGUAUCACUCCGCUUUCUUUUCUGGUUGAAAAAAUAAAAGGAACGCAGAUACUGCUUUUCGAAGUGUUUGGUAUGUAACCGAGGCAAGAAAAUCAGCAGGCAGCCGGGUGCAGUUUUGUGCGGGGCCGAGAGCAGAUGAGGUGGGCGGCGAGGGCCCCACAAAGGGGCGGCUGGGCCCAGGCGGGCGCCGGGCGCGGGGCGCGGCGGGGAAGGCUGUUGCUUGGCCCUAGGCACAGGCUGGAAACGCCCGGCUUGGGAUGUCUUCACUUACCCACCACGUUAUCCCGGCCCAGGCCGUUUGGGGUGGCUCAUGUCAUUGUGGUUGCCUUUGGAGAUCACUGUGGAGACCCCAGAGGAAUGGUCAGGCCGAUUGUAAAUCCUCCUAUUUUCAUAUUCUUCAAGGGACACCAGGUCCAACGAAGACCUUGGGCGAUUUCAAAGCGCAGGCACCUCGAUUCCUCGAAUUUGUGGUGUGGCCGGUAUCGGUGUUCCCCUGGUUUAACUAGCCUGUUUGGGGUCUUCCUUCUUCCAGUCUACAACUGCCUUUGA
rnacentral:lncRNA from 1 species